CUCUUAUCGAGAGUUGGGCGAGGGAUUUGGCCUUUUGACCCCAAAAGCAACCGACCGUAAUUCCAUUGUGAAAUGGGGCGCAUUUUUUUCGCGCCGAGACGCUGGUCUCUUAAGGCACGGUGCUAAUUCCAUUCAGAUCUGAUCUGAGAGAUAAGAG
rfam:Bacillus subtilis subsp. subtilis str. 168 complete genome.